UAAACUCUAAUAGUUUAUAAAAA
rnacentral:tRNA from 1 species